rnacentral:rRNA from 1 species
AUUGAACGCUGGCGGCAGGCCUAACACAUGCAAGUCGGGCGAGCGGCGGACGGGUGAGUAAUGUAUGGGGAACUGCCUGAUGGAGGGGGAUAACUACUGGAAACGGUAGCUAAUACCGCAUACCAUCAGAUGUACCCAUAUGGGAUUAGCUGGUAGGUAGGGUAACGGCUUACCUAGGCGACGAUCCCUAGCUGGUCUGAGAGGAUGACCAGCCACACUGGAACUGAGACACGGCCCAGACUCCUACGGGAGGCAGCAGUAGGGAAUCUUCGACAAUGGGCGCAAGUCUGAUCGAGCAACGCCGCGUGUAUGAAGAAGGUUUUCGGAUCGUAAAGCUCUGUUAUUAGGGAAGCGUUAUCUGACCAGGAAGCCCCGGCUAACUACGUGCCAGCAGCCGCGGUAAUAC